GAUGAACGCUGGCGGCGUGCCUAAUACAUGCAAGUCGAGCGAACGGACGAGAAGCUUGCUUCUCUGAUGUUAGCGGCGGACGGGUGAGUAACACGUGGAUAACCUACCUAUAAGACUGGGAUAACUUCGGGAAACCGGAGCUAAUACCGGAUAAUAUUUUUAACCGCAUGGUUCAAAAGUGAAAGACGGUCUUGCUGUCACCUAUAGAUGGAUCCGCGCUGCAUUAGCUAGUUGGUAAGGUAACGGCUUACCAAGGCAACGAUGCAUAGCCGACCUGAGAGGGGGAUCGGCCACACUGGAACUGAGACACGGUCCAGACUCCUACGGGAGGCAGCAGUAGGGAAUCUUCCGCAAGGGGCGAAAGCCUGACGGAGCAACGCCGCGUGAGUGAUGAAGGUCUUCGGAUCGUAAAACUCUGUUAUUAGGGAAGAACAUAUGUGUAAGUAACUGUGCACAUCUUGACGGUACCUAAUCAGAAAGCCACGGCUAACUACGUG
rnacentral:rRNA from 1 species